ACAGCAGCCGCGGUAAUACGAGGGGGGCAAGCGUUGUUCGGAUUUAUUGGGCGUAAAGGGUGCGUAGGCGGUUUGGCAAGUCCUGUGUGAAAUCUUCGGGCUCAACCCGAAGCCUGCACGAGAAACUACCGGGCUUGAGUAUUGGAGAGGUGAGUGGAAUUUCCGGUGUAGCGGUGAAAUGCGUAGAUAUCGGAAGGAACACCUGUGGCGAAAGCGGCUCACUGGACAAUAACUGACGCUGAUGCACGAAAGCUAGGGGAGCAAACAGGAUUAGAUACCCCCGUAGUCCCUGUCUCUUAUACACA
rnacentral:rRNA from 1 species